GCAUCAUAAUGAACGCCCAUUCACCGGGAGACACCAAAUGAGCUCCCGCGUCUUGUCCCGCGGCUUUGUCCACGAUACUUUUAAUUCUCUGCUACCCCUUUGUCUUCCUUCUGGAGGCUCCUGGGCUCGACCUGGUAUUUUCUUUCUUUCUCCAGCCGCAUCCCUGUUAAUAUAUCCCUCUGUGUCUCCGCGAGACUUACCCUUCCACCGUCGUUACCACGAUCCGCGGGAUUCGGCUCCGCUGUUGGAACGAUACGUUGUUGCCUCGUUUUGCGUUCAUCGAUGAGUUCUGGCAGGGGAUGUUUAUUGCUCAUUUCGACAGAGGAUAAUUUUAGCUUCGAUCUCGGCUUUAUUCCUCCGCGGUUUCGCGGGUUUCGGCUGUCCUUUGUCGAUGGUUGCUCGCGAUUGGAAACGUCUCUUUCGCUAUUCUUCGUUUAUCGACGGAUUUUAGAUGGGUUUUCGGAGGGAUCGGAGAGUCAUUUGCGAGGAGGUCUCUUCUUAAGUCUUCGAUUUUAAGAUUGUUCGCCGUGUCCACUAAAAUCGAACGAUUAAUUGAGCCGUUCACUGGACAAAUCGAUUAACACCACCAGUCACGUAAAAAUUGUAACAUUACUGCCGAUUAUUUUUUGGCUAUCCUUAUAUUAAUAUAUUAAAACGUUGGUGCGUAUGCAUGUCUGGAAUCUCGGCUGAACUACUGAAGCUAUCCACCUAAUAUUCACAAGACAUGUUCAUGUGGUGUCUCGGAUUGUGUUUCUUUGUGUUAGACCUCCGUAGAAAAUUCUUAUUUGUGGAUCGAUUCGGUUCAAAUUUGCACCAUAUAAUAUUUAAAAAAAAAAAAAAGAUAGUCUUUGGCAAAAUUUGAACCCGAUAGAAGUGGAGAUAUUAUAGAAUAAGAAUAGUAUUCCACGCGGGGCACAGCUACUUACUUUCAUAUACCGUUAGAUGAAAGCUGCAUCUGCAUUUAUACAUUCUAUAAUAUUUAUUUGAAUUUAUAUUACAAAGGAAAUUUAAAAAAACAAUGUACAUUAUUUCAUCAAAUUUCUCAAAUAUUCGUGUCAUGGAAUUGAUCGAUGUGUGCAAUGAACGGCUCAAUGGUCGAAUCCCUUUUUUUUUUAAGUAAUUUCAAGAAGUGUUCAUCUCAUCCCAACGCUUUCCUUGAAACAAUAACACUCCGAGUCCUAUCAAAUCUUGUAUCUUGACUUGGAAUCGUGACCACGGUGGACCAUCGUCCAAAAAUCAACUACCCAUCUUUUCCCUUCAGUUUACUUUCUAUUUGUACACGCUUCCAUUGUGUCCGCGUUUGUACGGCGUUCCUCUCGGUUCGCUUCUUGGCGGCGGCACGAGUGCGUGGCCGCGAAAGGCGAAAGGAGAAUGAAAAUAUUAUUGCUCGAUCCGCGCGCGUCAUGCAUAAAUGCAUCGAUCGCGGAGGCCUCCUCUCCUCCUUGUCACCUCUCGCGGCAGCCAGCAGGCGGCUGUACAAACAACGAUAUCCGCAAUGUUCGAGUUACAAGCAACGGGAUUAGUAAUCGUGCCCUGCCUCGCGCUAUAUACGCUUUCUUCUUUCGGUGGGUUUUGUCCUCCCUCGACGGGGACGUACCACCAUUUUCGCCGCUUUCGAUCGGAGCUGGGAGUCCUUGGAAGGAGCUGCGUCACGGGGAUCAUCCUGGAAUCGAAGGUGACGUUGCCAAAGGAGCGAUUUGUUGCGAGUGUUCUGUCCGACAAAGGGUAGAUGGUUCUCCGGUUCUUGCGAACUAUCUUCCGGAAAAGCAUCGUUUACCGGCGUGACGUGGGCAAAGAGACUUCGAUUCGCAAUCACGCACGCGCGCGUUGACGAAUAUUCGAGGGUUCCUGGUGUAAACAGUCGGUGCAAUUGCGCAAACGAACUUUCAUUGAAAAGUAAUGUCAAUCCCAUGGUGGAAGUCUCCUAAAUAAUUGCAACAACUCUAAUCAGCAAGGUGACAGAGAAUUAUAAUCUUCCCACAACUGAAAUCUGUCUCGAGCAUUUGACGAAUACGAAUCCUAUUUCAAUUGCCAUUCAUGGAGUUUCGAUACUCCGCGUCGAUACUCCGCGUGCCUCUGGUUUCUUCUGUUCCAGGGAACACGGUCGCGUAUCGAGCCGCAUCCGGAUGAACGUAAUCGCGGCAGUGUGCGUCGACAAUUAGCGCAGUUAGAGCGUACAAGGUGGCGGCGGGGGCGGCGAUGGUGGUGGCGUCGCGGCGGCAACUCGGCCAGCAUAAUAGAUAUGCUCUUUCUUUGUUUCGUGCGCUCAUAAUGGCCGCGCCUCGCAAGAAAACGCGGAACACGGAGCAUUAUGCAGUCCGCCGAGACGAACGAGAAUAAACCGAGUCUGAAUGGCUCUCUGAGUUUGUUUCCUUCCCUAUUCCCCUUCUAUAUUUUUCCCUCCUUUCGUUUCUUGUUUUUCUCCAUCUUUUGUGGCCGGAGAUACACCAGUCUGACUCCGUUUUCGAACCCUUUGUCCCCGGCCACUGUCUACCAGUCGUGGCGAAGGGCUGACGAUCGGUAAGACGAUCGAGGGGUGGUUCUGCCAGCAAAGUCGAAAUUUUUCCCUGUUUCCCUUCUUUUCCUGAUACAUUUUCCUCUUUCUCCUGGCACCUUUCCCUUUCUUCCCUGGUUUCGCCAAACCUGUACCGAGGGGUUCCAAAAUUUAUUCAUAGGGCGCGUUGAAUGUAAGGUACUUGCACAAUUAAACUCAGGAAUCUAUAGGACUCUUUCAGUUAGUUCUACAAGUAUUUACAUCGGUUAUCUAUUAUCCAUA